rnacentral:lncRNA from 1 species
UAACAAAAUCUUCCUCAGACAUUUCUUUGAUCUCUUGAUGCAUAAGCCGUAAUGCUAAUUCAGAUUAAGAGAAUUUAAAAAAUUAUACUUUUCUCUCUUUAAAAAAAUAAAAUUCAAAGGACUCCAUCUCAGAGUAUAGUGUUCUUUUCUAAUCCCAGACGCAUGCAAAUGUAAAGGAGUGUACUGAUAGGCAUACUUAUUUUCUGCCUGAAGGAAGCGACAUGUGCAAAUGGCAUGUUCAAAUAAUUAAUCAUAGAAGAAAGACA